rnacentral:rRNA from 1 species
UACGUAGGGGGGCAAGCGUUGUCCGGAUUUAUUGGGCGUAAAGAGCGUGUAGGCGGCCUGGUAGGUCUGCUGUGAAAACUCGAGGCUCAACCUCGAGAUGUCGGCGGAAACCAUCUGGCUAGAGUCCGGAAGAGGAGAGUGGAAUUCCUGGUGUAGCGGUGAAAUGCGCAGAUAUCAGGAAGAACACCUAUGGCGAAGGCAGCUCUCUGGGACGGUACUGACGCUGAGACGCGAAAGCGUGGGGAGCGAACAGG